rnacentral:rRNA from 1 species
AAAUGAAUUGACGGGGGCCCGCACAAGCAGUGGAUUAUGUGGUUUAAUUCGAAGCAACGCGAAGAACCUUACCAGGUCUUGACAUCCAACGAAUCCUUUAGAGAUAGAGGAGUGCCCUUCGGGGAGCGUUGAGACAGGUGGUGCAUGGUUGUCGUCAGCUCGUGUCGUGAGAUGUUGGGUUAAGUCCCGCAACGAGCGCAACCCUUACCAUUAGUUGCUACGCAAGAGCACUCUAAUGGGACCGCUACCGACAAGGUGGAGGAAGGUGGGGAUGAGGUCAAAUCAUCAUGCCCCUUACGACCUGGGCCACACACGUAAUACAAUGGCCGUUAACAGCGUGAAGCGAAAUCGCGAGAUGGAGCAAAACACCAAAAACGGUCCCAGUUCGGAUCGCAGGCUGCAACCCGCCUGCGUGAAGUUGGAAUUGCUAGUAAUCGCGGAUCAGCAUGCCGCGGUGAAUACGUUCCCGGGCCUUGUACACACCGCCCGU